rnacentral:lncRNA from 10 species
AUUUGUUUCAAUAUUUUUUCCCUCCUUAACCUGAUGGUCAUUUAGGAGCAUGUUGUUCAUUUCCAUGUAUUUUUAUAGCUUCCAAAAUUCCUCUUGUUAUUGAUUUCUAGGUUUAUUCCAUUGCGGUCUGAGGAGAUAUUUGAUAUGAUUUCAAUUUUUUUUUUUUUAAGACAGAGUCUAGCUCUGUAACCAAGGCUUGCGUGAAGUACUGUGAUCAUGACUCACUACAGUUCAACCUUCAAGGCUCAAGUGAUCCUCCCACCUCAGCCUCCCAAGUAGCUGGGACCAAAGGCAUCUGCAAAAUGUAGCCAGUUACUGCUGUCUUGUUGAAGCAACCAUACAAGCAAAGAUGGGGUUUCACCAUGCUGGCCAAGAUGGUCUGGAUCUCCUGAACUCGUGAUCCGCCUACCUCAUGAUCUGCCCGCCUCAGCCUCCCAAAGUGCUGGGAUUACAGGCACGAGCCACCGCGUCUGGCCGCUUUGGAUUUUUAUAUAAGAACAGAGACUCAGAUCAUUGGAGGUGUCUGGAGACAAAAUGAGUAUGGAUUCUUUUUCAGAAGAUAAGAGUUUGUGUAGGAGGAAUGUCCACCUGUGAAGGAAUUCAUAAGUCACCCUGGCACUCGGUAGUAGUUUUAUCUAAGUACAUUUUUCUAAUGGUAUUUGCCUUAUAUAGGUAAAAUAAAUAAGAUAAAUGAGAUAAUAUAAAAUAAUACUUUGAAAAAGGAAUAUGUAAAAUAGCAUCAUUUUCAUCAUUAAUGUAGCAAUGUACUUUUUACCAAAGGAUCUCAAAAUGUUUAAGAAAAUAAAAAAGUGUGUGUAAUAAUGUUGGAUGGGCACAUAAAAU